UUUCUUUUAUCUUUCUUACGCGUGCUCUCUCUCUCUCUCCAAUUAAACUCCUCUCUCUCUCUCCAAUUAAACUCCUUUCAGUUUCUUCGUAACCUAUCAAAACCCUAAUUGACAGUCAUAUUCAAUCAAAAUUGGAGUUUCUCAUACCUAUCAAAACCGGUCACAUAUUCAUGUCCUUUAUGCUACUGGAUGUGAUUCUCUCAUAAGAACAAAUCAUCCCCCUUUGCACGUUUUAAUUACAGUGCUUUAUGGUGAAACAAAUAACAUCGUGAAAAAAGAUGGAAGUUACCAGUAACGAACCAGAAGAAACCCGUGUUCUAACUCCACUGAGAUUCUUACGGGGCGUGUUUUGUUUACUCGUUUGCUUUCAACUGCAUUCGUGAUAUUAGUCUACUGCGGUUUCAUCACGGCUGUUAUCUUUAGACUUUUUAGCGUACAUUACAGCCGAAAGGCAACAGCCUUUUUCUUCGGCAGCUGGCUGGCGUUGUGGCCUCUUUUAUUUGAGAAAAUAAACAAAACGAAAGUAAUAUUUUCCGGAGAAACCGUUCCUGCGACUAGGGUAAUGAACAUUCAGAUCAACAAGUCAUUCCGUUAACUCGAUAUACAACUUAAUGAGGCUAUGAAACCUUUAAGCUUCAAUACGACACAUAUACGAUCCAUUGGCGAGCAUACCACGUUGGUCAAUGAGCCCAUUUUUCCAUCUUCAUGAAUCUUGACAAAAGGAAAGUUAGUUACAUCUUCUUCAAUUACUUCAACAAUAUAGGAUGAAAUUGCGUGUUCUGUUGAUAGACACCAGUUUUUCAAAGUCACCAGUGGUGAUAAUUACCAUCACAUCUUUGACGGUUGCAUAAUAUCAUGUUGCGAUCUGGCCAUUUUCUUUUUUUGUUCUUAGGUGAACUUUGAGGAGGUUAAGAAAGAUCUUAAUCUGGUUCCAUCGGUUCCUCAAAAGUCUCUUGCUCACCAGAAAUAUGAAAAUAUGCUGAUGUGGUUAAAGCUUCUGUUAAUGAACAUAUUAAUUGAACCCUAUAUCAUUAUAGUUGAGACUUGAUUCAUUCAAUGGGUGCCAAACUCAUCUAUUUCCAAUUCCACCAGAAAGCACCAGUUUGUAUCAGCAGUUCAGCACCUUCACGGGCUUCAAGUAUGUGUGUUCCUACACUUAUUCUUACAUUGUUUGUGUAAUCAUUUUCUAUUCGUGGCUAUCUGAAGUGCCUAUUUUUUACUGAAUAUGUUUCUGUAAAGUUUAUUUUUAUGUAUGUAUUUAUUUCGUUGUACCUUUUAUGAUUGAGACGCUUUCGGACCCACCGUUGAUUGAGAUGUAACACAUAGGAGGAUAGAGUGCUCUAAGAGGUUCAAAAGCUUCAGAAUGUGGGGGACCAAUAUAUCACCCACUCUGAAGGCGAAUAUACAUAAGAAAGGUGGGAGGUUUAUUGGUACUCCAAGGACUGACACUACCACUCCCAUGACAGAUAAAAGUGGUAAAAGUCGGUGAGGGGAUAACCAUUGCUGACCUGCAUAGGUUAAAUAAAAAAAAUAAAUCUGCUGUUAAUGUGAAAUGGUUGAUGAAGUGUUUUAUCUACUUCAUACGAGCAAUUGCAGGGUGUGACGGGGGAUGAAGAUGAGUCUGUGGUACAUAUCACAAACAGAAAGCAAGCGGAAGUUGCACCCAAGAGAAUAUUCUUGAAUGUUGCUAAACCAAGCUCCAAGUUUGUCAACGAGCUGAGCUGCAAUUGAGUUACUUGAGAUUGGCCUUGAAUCGAGCCGAGCAUAGACCUCAUUUAAUAAACAAGCGCGAGCUACGCUUAUGGAGCUUGACUAGGUGCCCACUUUUUUAGAAGUUUUGAUUUCAGGCCUUAGUUCAUCGCUUCAUUACUUGCUUGGGUUAUAGAAAUAUAUACAAGUUUGAACAACUACUUAUUUCUGUUUGCAUAUGUGUGCUUUUUUAAAAGUUUUGCUUUCACACCUUAGUUCAUCACUUCAUGACUUGCUUGGGUUAUAGAAUUUUAAGUUUUGAAGUUGCAAUGCUCUUAUCUAGCUCCAAGCUGUUCAAGUCCCAUCAUAUUUCUAUCUAAUAUAGGGUGAUGACAUUGAGAUAACACCAGAUUGGAUAUUUAACCAGAGUUUCGCUGCAUCUAGGCCAGAUGCUGCUACAUCAAGUAGUGUGGAUGCUAGAUGAUCUCAUGGGGAUGGAAGUUAGAUUCUCAUACUUACGAGUUUUUUCGUACUUUUGGAAACAUUAGAUGGGGAAUAUUAACAUUGUUAUGGUCAGACACGACUCAUUGGGUUAUUGAGUCACUAUGUUUUUUAGCGAUGAUAAAGUGGUUUUAUGUUGCACACGCGUACAAAGGAAGAUGGAUGAUUUUUGACGAUGAUAAAGUGGGCGUAUCUAAGAAUCCUCCAAAAGACAUUGCAUACCUCUCCUUUAUUGGAUGAUUCAAAGUUGAGUAUUUUUAUCUUAUUCUAUGACUUGGAUCUUUCUUUUGUCCAAGGUCGAUUUGUAUACAGAAGAGGGAAACACAAAGAUAGUGGAGGGCUCUACUGACUCAACUAGGAUCUUAUAUUUUGUUAUGUUAAAAACGGUUGAUUGUUGAAUGAUGUUAACACAUUUGUACUAAUUUUCAAGAUUGCUUGAUUACAUUUGUACUAAUUUAUUUGGUUCAAUUCCAUCACUCAUAUAUGCUUAAUCA